rnacentral:rRNA from 1 species
CACGUAGGCGGUUCGUUAAGUCGAAUGUGAAAUCCCCGGGCUCAACCUGGGAGCUGCAUCCGAUACUGGCGAACUGGAGUACGGUAGAGGAAGGUGGAAUUCCAGGUGUAGCGGUGAAAUGCGUAGAUAUCUGGAGGAACACCGGUGGCGAAGGCGGCCUCCUGGACCGAUACUGACGCUGAGGUGCGAAAGCGUGGGGAGCAAACAG